AGUAGAACCCAGGACGCCAGGGCCCCAGGUCGCCUCAGGCGGGGGUCUUGCGGCGUGUUUCCCCAGGUCGGAGCCACUGCCCCUCCAGUACUGGGCCCUGAGGGUGUGGCCGCCCUGCCGACACCUGGCUCAGGGUGAGGCACGUCAUCACACGUCACUGAAUAGCGUCAUCGGUCGCGUCACUGCGUAAGGGGACGAGCCGGAGCGCCGGUUGGAGAAAGCCUCGUCUUUCUGCACUUAGUCGCUUGCCUGAUGGACAGUCAGCUACGUGCGAGAAGUUGGACGAGGAGAAUGGGCCAAGAGAGGCAUUACCAGCAUGAAGGUGCUACGAGGCCAGGCCUGAAAUACCACGACUCAGUUUCCUCCUUCUGUCAGUGGGAAGACGGAUACCCGACUUGCCUGCGCUAGAAAGGUGUCAACUUAGGACGAAAUAAUGCAUGCGAGGCUGCGGGCGAACUGAUCUCAUUCGAACUCCUUAUUUCAAGACCCUGACAGAAAGCCCGGACAUAAGUCCUCGACACUCCAGGACUACCAAGUGUAACGUAUAAAGCCCAUUAGACUCCAUCUUUCACAUAAGAAGCAGGCACUGUGAACUUUGAAGCCGUAGAAAUUGGGUUGUAGGUCUUUCCUGGCCGAAACUGGAGAGUCGUCACUCUUGAAAGUUACUUACCUGGGUGUGUGGGUUUGAAGAUGGAAGACUUAAUUCCAAGCAAAGACGACUUAAAUGGGCAGUGAAAAUGAACAGACACAGCAAGGGUUAGGGCUGGGCCAGUGAAGGAUCAGAGCCACAACCUAGACUCUGGCGGUGGGGAUGGAAACGCGGAGGCCAGCUCUGAGCGGGGGAAUGAAUAGAUUAAUAAUCUGAUUAUGGGGCUGGAGAGAUGGCUCAGCGGCUAAGAUUACUGACUGCUCUUCCGAAGGUCAUGGGUUCAAAUCCCAGCAACCACAUGGUGGCUUACAACCAUCCUCAAUGAGAUCUGUCGCCCUCUUCUGGAGUGUCUGAAGACAACUACAGUGUACUUACAAAUAAUAAAUCUUUUUAAAAUA
rnacentral:lncRNA from 1 species